rnacentral:lncRNA from 1 species
GAUAAUCAAAGUGCCGAAAGUGACAUUAUCUUCUUUUUUCGGAUUUUUAUAUGUUUAAUCGGUUUGUUGAAUACCUUUUUUUGUUCAUAAAGUGUUUUAAAUAUGUACUUUUUUAUUUUUUAUUUUUAUUUUGUUGAUGGCGGGAAUAUUUUAUCCGCUCAUCAUAUUGAUUGAUGUCGAAUUUAGAUCAAAUUCCGUAACGUAUUAUCCCGUUUACUCAAUCAAAAUUCAAUGUGAAUGCUUUAAAA